UAAGGGGGGUGUGCACCGAGGAGAUUAGGGUCGGUUAGGGACAGUUUGUGGGACUAUUGUUUAUUGAGUGUCCGCACUGCAAAUUCGGACGUGGAAGAGGUCUGUCCAAGUCAGCACAGGUGCUGAAUCCAAAUGAUACUUUCCUUCCAAAAGGUGCAACCAAGUCUGCACAGAGAGGCUUUUGGGAAACAUGAUACCUAACGGAAGAGUGAAAGACUGUGAAGUAUGUAGGAUCAGUCUGAAGCUGGAAGAAGCCCGAGCCAGAUGUGACUUACACAGAUGGACAAAGAAGUAUUCAGCUUGACCUGCCCUGCAUAUGGCGAGAUUUAAUGUUACGCAUAAAUCUGUUCGUUGCUUUAGA